rnacentral:rRNA from 1 species
AAUGAACGCUGGCGGCAGGCUUAACACAUGCAAGUCGAACGAGAAGCUACCUUCGGGUAGUGGAAAGUGGCAAACGGGUGAGUAACACGUGGGAAUGUACCUUUUAGUCUGGGACAACAGUUGGAAACGACUGCUAAUACCGGAUAAGCUCUACGGAGGAAAGAUUUAUCGCUGAAAGAUCAGCCCGCGCUAGAUUAGUUUGUUGGUGAGGUAAUGGCUCACCAAGGCUACGAUCUAUAGCUGGUCUGAGAGGACGAUCAGCCACACUGGGACUGAGAUACGGCCCAG